CAGGUACAAACCGGAACUAGUUUGAGCUGACGUCACAUCGAUGAUAGUUAAGCUGACGAACUGAUCUGCUGCGCUAACAUUUCCUUAACUAAAUACCCCAUUAAAUGUUUGCAACUGUGGCUUCGUUCAAUGGAGCUCGACGACGAACUUGAGAACUUCAUCAGAGAACGGAAGGCGCGGGUGGUUCUAGAUAAGGCCAGCCUGAAGCAGGACCCUCCUUACAUGGAAAUAAAGACAAAUCUGCACAAAGCUUACAGUGGAUCUGCGGUGAAAGAGAACAUCCCACCCAAAUCUAAAGGUCAGGGAAGAGAUGAGAGUGUGGGUCUGCCUUUAGGUGUGGAGUAUGAGAAGAAGAAACACCAGCUGCAACGUGAGCUCCGGAUGGACUACAGGCGCUACAUGGCUCAGCAUCCACUCGGAGACUCGGCAAGUAUUUUUCCCAAACAUCAGUUACUGCUGCAGAGGGAUGCAGCCACGAUGACGGAGGACUCUGGGUCCAGGGCGUCUGAAGAUGAUGGGGGCUUUUCGUCGGUGCUCUCCAGGCAUCAAAACCGGCGUGGAAGACCUAUAGAUCUGGAGGAAGAGGAUUUCUUUCAAGAUGAGCUUCCAGUAGGCAGAAGGCGCCAGGAAACGGCAAAUGAACUAAUGGAUGAGGAGAGCCAGGCCAUUAGAAAUAAUAUUAGGGAAAAGAGAGAGAAUGGAGAAGACCUCAGGAGAGAUGGAAGGAGAAUAAGAACACAGAACAAAAACGAAAAUGAAAAUUUUGCCACCGGUCUUAUAUUUGGAGCAGGAGAUACAGACGAGGCUUUGCAGAGGAGGAAGGAGCGCUACAGGCAGGAGCUGCAGGAGCAGAUAGCUGAACAGCACCGCAACAAGAAGAAGGAAAAAGAGCUGGAGCUUAAAGUAGCUGCAACAGGAGCAAAUGACCCUGAGAAACAGCCUGACCGAAUCAAGCAGUUUGGACUGAGCAGGAGAAAAGCUCCUCUGGAUUCAGAGGCAACCGGAGAACACAGAUCAUCAUCUAGAACUCUAUCAGGUAUCGAAAAGAACACCAGCAGGGAAAGAGAAAUUCCUCUUCCUCUCGAGCCGUCGCAUGCUGCCUUCCAGUCCCCUCUGUUGGAGUACAGCUCUGCCCUUGGCUUAGGGGAAGGUGGCCUUUCCCCCUGUGGUCAGCCUGCAGCCCCCUUCUAUCCAAGCUCCAUGGAUAUUCCUAGGAAUCCUUUGUUUGUUCCGCAUCCUCCACUGAGUGGAGUUUACAGAAACCCAUAUAUAGAACCUUAUCAGUUCUACGGCACCAGAAACCCACCUGACCCAAACAUGGCCUACUAUGGUCAUCCAUCUGCUCCCAGCGCGGGGUUUCCCGUGACCUGUUGGAAUGUACCACCAGCGACGGCUGUGCCCAACCAGUUCAGCAACCACAGUCAGCACACCGAGCCCCCAACGACUUCCAGCAGGCCCACCAACGACACUGUGGUUGAUUCACCAGCUGGGAGCUUCCCUUUGGUGAGAUCGACCAAGGAUAGAACACUGAACUACGGAGAGGCCCUCAAACAGCAGGAAGCUUCCACCAGAGGGAGCAUCGAUCUUUACAGCAAGAUUCAAGAGCAACAGCAGAGGAAGCGUGUAGAGCGGGAGGAGGAUGAGCGCUUCGAGGCACGGCUGGAGGUGGAGAUGAGGACCUAUCAGCCCUGGGGCAAAGGUGGAGGAGGAGCUCCACUGAGGGACAGCUCUGGCAAUCUCAUCGCUGAUCUCCAUCAAAUGCACAAGCUGAAUGAGGAGGCUUACAUCAACCCAGAGCAGUGGCAGAGGAGAGCUACUGCUGGCAGGACGGUCCACCAAACGGGACAGUCUGAUCCCAACGAGAGAGUCUCUGGUUUCACUCGCAUCCAAACGCCCCAGUUUGCUAGAGGCAAUGUUUUUACCAACCAGCCCACUGAGCAGCAGCUGAAGGAGCAGGACCAGUACAAAGCGUUCCUCAAGCAGCAGAUCGAGGAGAAAAUGCGUCAAAAAGCAGAGGAGAGGGAACGAAUCCGACUGGAGGAGGAAAAAGAGGAGAAGAGACUGGCAGAGCAGAGGGCGCGCAUCCUGAGAGAGUACGAGGAAGAGCAGGAGAAGAAGAAACGAAAGGAAAUGGAGCAAAAGGCCAAAAACGAAGAGCUGAUUCAGUUGGCUGAGCAGAGGAAGAGGGAGGCUGAGCAGAAAAGAAGGGAGAUGGAGGAGAAGGAGAAUGCAGCACUGAGGAGGCAUUAUGAAAGGGAGAGGCAGGCACGAGAGGAGGAGGCUGUGUGUCUUCAGGUCCACGAGGAGCCUUUGCCUCCAAUUCCAGCCCUGCAGAGGAAACAAGGGCAGCUCCAGCACCCCCCCAGACCCCCCACUUAUGACAGCCAGCACGCCAGAGCUCCCUUGACUCAGGGGUCUCAGUCCGGUCUCCAGUCCCCUCCUGUCCCUGCUUGUCGGAACCAGCUCAGAGCUGCAGGAGCCUACAGAGAUGUGUUCAGCGAGUUGUCAGCUUUACGCCACCAGCUUCGCAGCGAGCAAAAGAGACUUGAGUGUCGUCUGCGGCAGGACGACUGGGAGGAGCUAGAGUCUCCGAUUAGCGUCAGAUCUCAGGAGCGUCCAGCAGUAGACGUCUUUGACAUGGCAAGACUGCGACUGCAGGCUCCAGUUCGGAGGCCGAGCUCCAGAAACGUGGAUCCCCGAAACCUCCGUAACCACGAGUCCGCUCGGCUGGAAUGUGAAGAUGGAGAGUCGAGACUUGGGUUUUGUAAGGAUGCUAAAAGUGUGACCAACCAGAGGAUCAGGGACGACAGAGACUCGGAUCACCAGUUCAGUGACCAAAGAUCUACAGUUCUGGAUGAUUACUUAGACCUCUCUCCGCCUCCCCAAACUAAUCAUCUGAGAGGCAGCAGCAGCAGGGGAUCUGACAGGGACUCCCAGCUGCGGUCAGAAAGUGCGUUUAUGGGAUCCUUAGAUGACGUCUCUCCAGAACCGCACACUCCAAAGCUCGACGAGGUCCAUCAGCUGUCAGCCAGAGAGAGAAGGAGGCUGUCCAAACAGUCCCAGCAUGCACCGGAACGAGCCGUCUCCAGGCAUCUCAGCGGCCGUCGGAAUGACUGCUCUUCCCACUCAGGCUACAGGCCACAGCGGGAAGCAGAGGAAGGUGGCGAGUGGAGGAUCCGGAACAUGACAAGACGUCUGACGGCCUUUAAUCGCCCUGGAAAUGCUGAUGCUCCAAGUUCAGCAGAAACUCAGAUCUCUGGACGCAGCCUGGAUCUUCAGACACGCUGAAACGUCUGGACUGGCCUCAGAAGAGAGACUCUGUCCUCCUGCACCCUGGAGGAGCUUCACACAAGUCUGUCCUUUUCUACUGGACAUGAUGAAGGAUGUCCAGAUGACUGAACAGCUUCAGCUGAGGUGAUCAGGGAGGUACUUGGUGUUUCAUCUGGAAUGAGGAGAGUAGACAAGAAGACCUGGUGGAGGAAUGAGGAAAAAAUUUGCUAAGAAAAAAUGGAACGCUGAGAACAGAAGACAGGAGAUGCAGCAUGAGGUGAAGGUGAAGGUGGCAAAAACCACGCAAAGGGCGUAUGAGGACUUGUAUGACAGAUUGGACACAAAGGAGGGAGAGGUGGAUGUGUACAGGGAGGGAAAGAUGUUCAGCUGGUUACGAGGAUUAAGAACAGGGAUGGAAAUGUGUUGACAGGUUCCACAAGUGGAAGGGGAACAUGGAAGACCUGAGGAAUGAGGGAGAUGUCGGAGAACACAGAGUAGAAAAAGUGGCUGUAGUAGAGCAGGAAGUAGUAAAGAUCAGUAGUGAGGAAGGCAAUGAGGAAGAUGACAGCAUACCCAUGAAGGUAUGGAGGAAUUUAAGGGAUAGGGGUAGAGUUUCUGAACCAUUAGGAUGGUUUGGACACAUUGAGUAGAGAAAGGACUUUGAUGAAGACUAAAUGGAGGUUCAUAGAUGUAGAAAAGACUGGAUGGAGGCACAUUGGGUUUUGAUUGGCUAUUGAUCUUUCAAUCAAUGUCUUCCAAGUUGUGUCUCCUGUACAGAAUAUGUUCAGUUUGACAAAUUUCCAUAAAUCUUUGAUAAGAUUUUUGUUUUCAGUCUUUAAAGCUGGACUUAUCUUUUUAUGACAGUUUGAACUUUAAAAGUUGGAGAGAGAGAGAGAAGUGUAAAAAUGUUCAUGUCUGAAUAAAGUGUCUAAGCCGG